CUGAUUAGGGAAUAUCCAAUAAGAGGGUGUAGGACAUUAGGCUCUGGUCUCUCUUACCUUGCUCACUGCAUGCCACCAGACCAGCAGUGCUGUCAGGGGGUAGGUGUAACAGUCCUGAACAAAGGAAAGAUCUACCUAUCGGAGCAUCGUGAGCAGAAUGAGAGGCAAUGAGAGGCGGACCGUCAACCUGAGGGAGAGGGCUGGUUCCUGAUGGUGUCCAGAGACGCGUACUGAAGGACUGGAAUCUUCACAAAGAUCUUCAACUAGUCCCUGACACAAUCCACUGUGUUGGACCACCACCUGGGAAUGUAUUUGAUCUCCCUCUCAUGUUCCCACAGCGGUGCAGUCGUGCCCAUGUCUCAGUCUAUUAGGAUGUUCAAAUUGUGUUCAAAGACAAUAUUCAAUCAUUUCAGUUCCUAGACGGACUAUGUCUCUGUCACUCUGUGCACUGUAACAUAAUUUUUUUUAGUAAAAUAUAAAAACAGGCUUGUGAUGAUAUCUUACAGGAUGGAUGGAUAACAUCGCUCAAGCUUAUCUGUCCAUAAUUUAUUGUGAUUUGGUCCUGAUGGGGCUGUGCAGCAGCAUUCAUGUUGUCAAGUCAAAGACGUCACUGUUGUUGAACAUGAAAAUGAGUUUGAGAAGUGUGUUUUCACCUUGAAUGUUCUGUAAUGUCUCAACUUAUCUAUGUGUUUAUUGUGUAUCAUCUGAUCCUUUUUGUUGCAUUUGUACGUUUCUGUAAUUUUGGACUGUACUGUAAUAUGAAGGAUUUUUGUUCACAGAAUACUUACAGAGAUUUUGCAUUUUUAGGUGAGUUUGUCACGGUAAUUCAUCUGAAUAUACCCCAAAGUGCAUUAUCUCAGGAUAUAGUGACAGUGUCUCUAGUUGACACAGAUAUUCUAACAUGUUGUCUUGUGAUACUGAGAUGGAGGCUCCAUUCUCUUCCAGCAGACAUUUGAAUAACGGACUGUAAAUUGUUUCAGUUCAUCUAUUUACAAGUUAUAAGGUAAUUAAAUGAUGGCACAUGUUACCUUGAUGUGUUCAAGCUUA